rnacentral:lncRNA from 1 species
AUGGUUAUCAACUGAACUAUUUUAAGAGUGCCAUCAAGGAGUUUACGUACUCUCUAAAAAAGUGAGGCGGUUUAAAGAGGUUACCUAAUUUAUCUCCUAAAAUCAUGGUAAAAACCACCCAUUAUCUACAAAUCUGCUUCCUUAUAACCCACUUUGCAAUCCCCUCCUGAACGCACCAUCCUUUCAUCUCUACAGCGCCAAAUAUACGAGAUGGGCACUUUCAAAAACGAAGAUUGAUGUAACUCUGAAGUUGCACAUUAAUAAUUGAACCCUACAUUAAUGGAACAGCCAUUGCCCUCGCUUUUGAUUUGUUUUGUUUCACAAGACCAGAAUAUCUCGAAACUUUUUCAGCAAUUUAUUUGUGUAUAGAGUUUCUUGUAGGUGAGGGUUGAUCAUAUGGCUAUUGCUUUGUUAAGGACUUACAAAUCACCAAUUGUUAACACUGUACAAUUUCUUAUACUCUCGCUUAGUGGAGUCUGGAAAGUGACUCGCAUGAAGAAAAGUUAAGGUGAGCGAUUUAGCAACUUGGACUGUAAUCGAUGUUGGAACCGGCAAUGGAUGGAUACUACAGCUCAUUACUGUUGUUCAUCGCUAAAGCAGUGGAAUAAACAUUCAUCACUCUAAGUGCUCGCCACAUCAUCAUGUUGGCGCCAACUAGUAAGGUUUUGGUUAGAAAGUCAAUUGUUGACCAUGUUUGAUUGACCAACAAUAGGAUUAUGUACCUUGCCAUGAAAGAUUGCUUCAGAGUUGAGAGUUGAGCUGGAAAUGAAGCAACAAGUUGGAUACAUUGAUUAUGAUACUUGUAGGUGGUGGAUCAAAUAUAAUAUGGGUUUUUUUUUUCUUUUUCCUUUUUAGAUGAAGGAAUUUGUGGAAGUGAAAAAGGUGCUAACUUUGAAAGGGGUCAUAGCUUAAUUAUGUGUAUGAUAUAUUGAGGAGAAAAAUAUAUAGCCUGCAGAAGGAUCUACAAGAUUUGCAGUACACUAUUGAUGUACUGCAACAAGCGAGUAAUCUUAUGCAAUUUGUGGAAAUCUCCUGCAAUUGUUGGCAUUAAAAAAAGUCCAACCACUAAAAGGAAGCAUCAACAUCUACAGCUGAUCUUGUGAAAAUACAAGACAAAAUGGAAAUUAUCAAAAAGGAUAUCAUUUAGCCAAAACAGUGAUAUAGAGACAGGGGCAUAGCUUUGUUGUGGCCCGGGGUGCCCCUGCUCUCGCUGAUUUUUUGCUCAUAGGCGUGCGUCUCGGUUACUCUUUUUAAAACUUGCAGAUGAGAUGAAGUGCCUGAGGAAAAAAGUUGUCUUAAAUUGGAGGAUUGUGAAGAAAAAAUCAAUAUGGUUACAGUUGCAUCAAAUGAGCUUAUUCUCUUCUAUGAUGAGUUUGUUAUGCAUAUGGAUAUUGCACUUAUAUGACAGAAAUGAAAUUG